CAAGUCGAGCGAUGAAGUUUCUUCGGAAAUGGAUUAGCGGCGAACGGGUGAGGAACACGUGAAGAAUCUGCCCUCCACUUUGGGAUAACACCGGGAAACCGGUGCUAAUACUGAAUAUUGAAACAUAAGUGGCAUCACUGAGUUUUGAAAGAAUUUCGGUGGAGGAUGACUUCGCGGCCUAUCAGCUAGUUGGUGAGGUAAUGGCUCACCAAGGCAACGACGGGUAGCCGGCCUGAGAGGGCGACCGGCCACACUGGGACUGAGACACGGCCCAGACUCCUACGGGAGGCAGCAGUGGGGAAUAUUGGGCAAUGGAGGAAACUCUGACCCAGCGACGCCGCAUGCGGGAUGAAGGCCUUCGGGUUGUAAACCGCUUUCAGUAGGGAAGAAGCGAAAGCGACGGUACCUACAAAAGAAGCACCGGCUAACUAUGUGCCAGCAGCCGCGGUAAUACAUAGGGUGCAAGCGUUGUCCGGAAUUAUUGGGCGUAAAGAGCUCGUAGGUCGUUUGUUACGUCGGAUGUGAAAACCUGAGGCUCAACCUCAGGCCUGCAUUCGAUACGGGCAAACUAGAGUUUGGUAGGGGAGACUGGAAUUCCUGGUGUAGCGGUGGAAUGCGCAGAUAUCAGGAGGAACACCAAUGGCGAAGGCAGGUCUCUGGGCCAAUACUGACACUGAGGAGCGAAAGUCUGGGGAGCGAACAGGAUUAGAUACCCUGGUAGUCCAGACCGUAAACGGUGGGCACUAGUUGUGGGAACCUUCCACGGUUUCUGCGACGCAGCUAACGCAUUAAGUGCCCCGCCUGGGGAGUACGAUCGCAAGAUUAAAACUCAAAGGAAUUGACGGG
rnacentral:rRNA from 1 species